rnacentral:rRNA from 1 species
GUGGGGAAUUUUGGACAAUGGGCGAAAGCCUGAUCCAGCAAUGCCGCGUGUGUGAAGAAGGUCUUCGGAUUGUAAAGCACUUUAAGUUGGGAGGAAGGGCAGUAAGUUAAUACCUUGCUGUUUUGACGUUACCGACAGAAUAAGCACCGGCUAACUUCGUGCCAGCAGCCGCGGUAAUACGAAGGGUGCAAGCGUUAAUCGGAAUUACUGGGCGUAAAGCGCGCGUAGGUGGUUUUGUAAGUUGGAGGUGAAAUCCCCGGGCUCAACCUGGGAACUGCCUCCAAAACUGCAUGACUAGAGUACGGUAGAGGGUAGUGGAAUUUCCUGUGUAGCGGUGAAAUGCGUAGAUAUAGGAAGGAACACCAGUGGCGAAGGCGACUACCUGGACUGAUACUGACACUGAGGUGCGAAAGCGUGGGGAGCAAACAGGAUUAGAUACCCGUGUAGUCC